rnacentral:rRNA from 1 species
GACGAACGCUGGCGGCGUGCCUAAUACAUGCAAGUAGAACGCACAGUUUAUACCGUAGCUUGCUACACCAUAGACUGUGAGUUGCGAACGGGUGAGUAACGCGUAGGUAACCUGCCUGGUAGCGGGGGAUAACUAUUGGAAACGAUAGCUAAUACCGCAUAAUAUUAAUUAUUGCAUGAUAAUUAAUUGAAAGGUGCAAUUGCACCACUACCAGAUGGACCUGCGUUGUAUUAGCUAGUAGGUGAGGUAACGGCUCACCUAGGCGACGAUACAUAGCCGACCUGAGAGGGUGAUCGGCCACACUGGGACUGAGACACGGCCCAGACUCCUACGGGAGGCAGCAGUAGGGAGUCUUCGGCAAUGGACGAAAGUCUGACCGAGCAACGCCGCGUGAGUGAAGAAGGUUUUCGGAUCGUAAAGCUCUGUUGUAAGAGAAGAACGGGUGUGAGAGUGGAAAGUUCACACUGCGACGGUAUCUUACCAGAAAGGGACGGCUAACUACGUG